GCAAACUUGGUCAUUUAGAGGAAGUAAAAGUCGUAACAAGGUCUCCGUUGGUGAACCAGCGGAGGGAUCAUUAGAGAGUAUUCUACUCCCAACCCAUGUGAACAUACCUAGCGUUGCCUCGGCGGAGGGGGCCCUAACGGGCUCUCCCGCCGCCGAUGGCCCACGAAACUCUGUUUUAUUUUGAAACUCUGAAUCUAGAAGCAAAUAAGUUAAAACUUUCAACAACGGAUCUCUUGGUUCUGGCAUCGAUGAAGAACGCAGC
rnacentral:misc_RNA from 1 species